rnacentral:rRNA from 1 species
CAGCAGCCGCGGUAAUACGUAGGGUGCGAGCGUUAAUCGGAAUUACUGGGCGUAAAGCGUGCGCAGGCGGUUUUGUAAGACAGGCGUGAAAUCCCCGGGCUCAACCUGGGAAUGGCGCUUGUGACUGCAAAGCUAGAGUGCGGCAGAGGGGGAUGGAAUUCCGCGUGUAGCAGUGAAAUGCGUAGAUAUGCGGAGGAACACCGAUGGCGAAGGCAAUCCCCUGGGCCUGCACUGACGCUCAUGCACGAAAGCGUGGGGAGCAAACAGGAUUAGAUACCCCCGUAGUCCCUGUCUCUUAUAA